rnacentral:tRNA from 1 species
GGGCACUUAGCGCAGUGGUAGCGCGCUUCGUUCACAUCGAAGAGGUCACAGGUUCGAUCCCUGUAGUGCCCACCA